UAAAUGCGAGGGUUAAAAAUUAUAUAAUUUGUGGGAAUUUUAAUGCCCACUAUACAUUAAAAUAAUACCGCAAAAAAUUAUAUAAUUUACAGCGAUGUUUUAACCCCCGUUAUCUAUUCCAAAAUAUACCGCAAUAUUUCCACCUUUUCCCCCAAAACCAUUUCUCUUUCUCUUUUACUUUCCCCAAAACAUUUCUCUUAUGCUAUCAUCUAUAGAAACAUCUCUCUUUACAAGUGGUACUUCUCAAAUACGCUGUUAUUUGACUUCCGCUAAUGCUGAAGAAAUCGUCAAGGAUUCUUCUAAUACAGAAACCUGGAGGCAUCAUUGCUCUUCUUGAUGAAGCCUGAUAUUCGAGAUUAACAAACGCUUUGUCAAACCAAAACCCGCACUGAUUUUACCAUUGCUCAUUAUGUUGGAGAGGUUCAAUACCAGUCUGGUCAGUUUUUGGAUAAGAACAAAGACUAUGUUGCUCCUGGGCAUCAGGAUCUGUUAAGUGCUUCUAAGUGCCCAUUUGUAGUGGACCUUUUUCCUCCUGUUGCUGAGGAGUCAACUAAAUCUUCAUCCAAAUCUUCCAAGUUCUCAUCCAUUGGUUCUCGUUUCAAGUUACAACUCCAAUCAUUGAUGGAAACUUUGAAUUCUACAGAACCUCAUUACAUCAGAUGUGUAAAGCCUAACAAUCUUUUGAAACCUGCAAUAUUUGAGAACGUUAACAUUGUGCAGCAGCUACGUUGUUGUGGUGUUCUAGAGGCAAUUAGAAUUAGUUGUGCUGGCUAUCCUACGUAUAAGACAUUUUCUGAGUUUAUGAAUUGAUUUAAUCUUCUUGCUCCAGACAUCUUAGCAGAACCGUGUCUCGACCCGAACUGGGGCCCUGGCCGUGACGGACAUCCCAAACCAUGAAGUCCCGGACGUCCUACUCUAUCUGAUUGGAAAAACAAAGGUUUUUCUGAGAGCAGGGCAGAUGGCCGAGCUAGAUGCAGACAGAGCACUAAAACUAACUGGUGCAGUUCAGAUAAUAUAAAAGGAAAGUAGAUGUCAUAUUUCCAUGAGAAAUUAUGUCUCUUUGAAGAAGGUUACAGUUUUCUUACAAUCUUUGUGUCGAGCCAAGUGAUGCGGCUAGUGGACCCAUUUCGCCCAUGGAUGUAAGGAGAUCAUGUGAUGAUAAUGAUUGUAAUGACAUUCUUUGAUUUCGUUGCAUUUGUCUUGGAUAUUCAAUUAUGAUGAUAUAAUUGUGUGUUUGGAGUGAAUCUCAGAGUAUUGAAGGUUGUGUUUAAAUUUGAUUUUGUAGUUUGAAGAUACUAGUUAAUGUUGAAAAAUUGGAGUUUGAAGAUGUUAAUGUUGAAAUUUAAUUUUGAAGUUUAA